AGUAACGCGUGGGCAACCUGCCUUAUACAGGGGGAUAACAGCUGGAAACAGUUGCUAAUACCGCAUAAGCGCACAGUGUCGCAUGGCACAGUGUGAAAAACUAAGGUGGUAUAAGAUGGGCCCGCGUCUGAUUAGCUAGUUGGGAGGGUAACGGCCUGCCAAGGCAACGAUCAGUAGCCGGCCUGAGAGGUUGGCCGGCCACAUUGGGACUGAGAUACGGCCCAGACUCCUACGGAAGGCAGCAG
rnacentral:rRNA from 1 species